rnacentral:tRNA from 1 species
GGGCUUGUGGUUUAGUGGUAUAAUUCCUCUUUAGCACUGCACCUCUUCAUGAGGCGCGAGGACUAGAGGCGGUCCCUGGUUCGAUUCCUGGCAGAUCCA